AGACGCUGAGGGGCCGCAGCAGAACGCCUCGGAGGUGUCUGCUGAGGCCGGAGGUGGGAAGCUGAUACGUUAUUUCUCUCAGCUUAAAGCAGCUGCAUUUUUACAUUUGGGGAGGAGGGAAGAUGACUGCGUUGAGGAAAGGUUGCUGUCCAGGUCAUCCUAGCCAGCCCCAGGCUCAGCGCUCCAUCCUCGCGGCGCGCGUGCCUAGGGGAGUGAGCAUGUCACUUGGAGUAAGUUAGGUAGAACAUUCUCCGAACUCUAGGAAGAAAACGAAAAGGACUACCAAAGGAUCAAUCGCAGAACCUGGGGAGGAAGACACAGACGGGGCAGAGAAAGGGAAGGGGUCGCCUAAUCCGGCCGAAGGGAGUCCGGAGAGCCAAGACCGCGCCUCCAAGAGAAGCCACAGGGUGGCGCGAGAAGCCCGCGCGCAAAGGCGCGAGCUCCCCGCCCGCGCUGGGUGCCUGGGGGUGCGAUCUGCAGCCCCCAGUGAGCAACGCCUCAGGUCUCAGCUUCAGUCCCUGACCCCGGCCAGCCAGCGCCGGCCCCGGGGCAGGAUAGGGCAAGGCAGGGCAGGGCUGACAUCGAUCGCCUCCCUGACAAGAGCAUCGAUUUAUUCGUGAAGAAAUUAAUAGAUCUUCUCUUAGCUCCUCGGACGCAGGAGCCGCCCGCGGGUGGAGCUGAGGACCGCGCACCUUGGAGGCCGAGCACCUGGAAAGCCCCGGGAUCCCCAGCACCCAGGGCAGCAGAAGGCUGGUCCCAACCCCUCCCACCGCGCAAGCCUCCGUGGCUGCACUAACCCAUCCGUCUCAAGCUGGGGAGAGCGAAGGGAAGAGGGGUGUCUCUUGGCGGGGAGACAGGCAAGGCCCCAGGGAGCGGGGGAAGGACGACCUCCUAGAGGCUCACGGUUCUCUCCGCCAAGGCCCCAGCACGGAUGGCCCCCCAAGUCCCCGAGACAGGGACACACAGACCGACCGAGCAGCCUGAGCUCAAGAAGGUGACCAGACGGAGGCAGAGCCCUACACAGUGAUCGCCUUCUUCCUCGGGAUCUUGGUCAGAACCAAGGGACUAGGCGGUGACGGAGCCUGGCGCUAAGGGGUCUCCAAAGAGGACAAGGAGGCCUCCUAGGAGGCUGAGAGGGGCUCCCAGAGGCCAAGGGCUGUCCACGUUCUCCCGGGUCGAGGCUGCCAGAAGUUACCCCGCAGAUGUCAAGGCACCGGGAAGCAGAAUCUAGACACAGCGCUCCCC
rnacentral:lncRNA from 1 species